rnacentral:rRNA from 1 species
AGUGAACGCUGGCGGUAGGCCUAACACAUGCAAGUCGAACGGCAGCACAGUAAGAGCUUGCUCUUACGGGUGGCGAGUGGCGGACGGGUGAGGAAUACAUCGGAAUCUACUUUUUCGUGGGGGAUAACGUAGGGAAACUUACGCUAAUACCGCAUACGACCUACGGGUGAAAGCAGGGGAUCUUCGGACCUUGCGCGAUUGAAUGAGCCGAUGUCGGAUUAGCUAGUUGGCGGGGUAAAGGCCCACCAAGGCGACGAUCCGUAGCUGGUCUGAGAGGAUGAUAGGCCACACUGGAACUGAGACACGGUCCAGACUCCUACGGGAGGCAGCAGUGGGGAAUAUUGGACAAUGGGCGCAAGCCUGAUCCAGCCAUACCGCGUGGGUGAAGAAGGCCUUCGGGUUGUAAAGACCUUUUGUUGGGAAAGAAAAGCAGCAGGUUAAUACCCCGCUGUUCUGACGGUACCCAAAGAAUAAGCACCGGCUAACUUCGUG